CCAGCAACCAUGUGUUGAGUGUCUGCUGCAUGCCAGGCACUGUGCUGGGUAUCCAAAAUCAUGCUCUCACUGAGCUUCUGGACCUGGUUGGCAAGAAAACCACAGCAGGUGUGAAGACGGGGGCAAAAGCCCUAUGAAGACACACAGGACAAACACCUGAUUAUGGUUGAGUGAAAUGAGUGGCUUCUGAGAGAGGUGCCUUUGAAAAUGAGUCUUGAAGGAUAAGGUCAGCAGAGACCUGAUGGAGUUAAGGAGGUAAAGGGCAGGAAGAACGUGUUCCAGACAGAGGAGGAAGGAUUGAACAGUGUCCACUGUGGCUGCACCCCUGCAAACCAGGAGGGCCGGUGGGUCAGAGCCACAGACAAAGACUGCUCAAGGGAGCCUUGACUCCAUGCUAGGCCUGCUGGCAGACUAUUAAAGGAUGGUAGCAGAUGGAUGAGAUGCACCCUCACCUCUGCCUCCUCUUGGCGUCCAGAGUUGCUUUACUCUUGCCUCCCAAACAGAGCACACUGCAGAUUGCUUUGAUCGAUCUUUGCAACUAUCAUAGGUUGAGAGUCCAGGUGUGAUAGUUACUAAUUGCUUCAUGGGACAUCAGUCAGAAGAGAGACGCCGGCUGUGAUGACGGGCCAGGUGAGGAAGGUUCACACCCCACCUCCACCAUCCACCCAGUACCCAGUGCCCAGAGAACAGGCGGGUGUUCCGGGUUCUCGGCAGGGAUGUGGCCACGAUGGCCAGCGGCAGCUGCUCUGCUCCUCUCGAUCCUUGCAUGAGUCUACAUUUCAGUUGUAUUGAAAAGAAAGUGUGCAAAAUUUCCCUGUUCUUUACCCCACAGGGCCUGGGGAGGGUGAUGGCUCAGAGAGAGGGCUGUGGGGCAAAUCUGGGGACAGAGACAGGAGGGUGUGAUAGUGGGGUUCCAAGUGGAAAAGUUCUCCACCUGGUAGCUCCAAAUGGAUAGAAGGUAACUGACAUCUGGUGGCAAAGUAGUCCUGUCCCAACAGUGAGUGUCCCAACCCCAGGUACCAGCUGGGGGCUGCUGUGCUUGGAGCCCAGAACAAAGCCUGAGCUGCAGUUCACCCAACAACACCUCUUCCCAGGGCCGGGAACCCCUGUCUUCCCUGCAGCCCACACAAAACUCUGAUGUUCUAGGUCAUUGAUUCCUUAGUCACAGUGCACUGAGGAUUCUCUGAGCUGAAUACAGGCUGCUUUUUGCCCUUUCU